rnacentral:rRNA from 1 species
UACGUAGGUGGCAAGCGUUGUCCGGAUUUACUGGGCGUAAAGAGCGCGCAGGCGGUCGUUCAAGUCGAGUGUGAAAGCCCCCGGCUCAACUGGGGAGGGUCACUCGAUACUGAUCGACUCGAAGGCAGGAGAGGGAAGUGGAAUUCCCGGUGUAGUGGUGAAAUGCGCAGAUAUCAGGAGGAACACCGAUGGCGAAGGCAGGUCUCUGGGCCACUACUGACGCUGAGGAGCGAAAGCGUGGGGAGCAAACAGG